CCUCUCCUCAAAUUAAUUUCCCAUCUACACCUGUGACCCAUUCCUCUACCCUCCCAUCUCCCGGCGAUUCAGGCGACCACUGCCGAAAGCGAGCCCGACCUCAAGUGAGAAGGACCGCCGUCUCCGCCCGUCGCCGAAGUCAUCCCCUCACUCGAGUUCAUCGUAGUCCCCUCCCCAACAGAUCUAGGGAUGAUUGGUAAUGCAUAGAGAUUGAAAAUGUUCUUGAGCCUAAGCAUCAUUAUAUGCAGAAUAUUACAGUGGGUGUUAAUUAUGGUCCUUCGAUAGGAGGCUAUAUGCUACAAUGUGGAAUCGUCCACCUCCAUACGAGAUUCUUAAUUGCUAUUAUGGAAUUCCAAUGCAAAUGAA